rnacentral:rRNA from 1 species
UUGACCUCAAAUCGGGUGGGACUACCCGCUGAACUUAAGCAUAUCAAUAAGCGGAGGAAAAGAAACUAACAAGGAUUCCCCUAGUAACGGCGAGUGAAGAGGGAAAAGCUCAAAUUUUGAAUCUGGUGUCUUUGACUCCCGAGUUGUAAUCUAGAGAAGUGUUUUCCGUGUCGGACCGUGCACAAGUUCCCUGGAACGGGGCGUCAUAGAGGGUGAGAAUCCCGUAUAUGGCAYGGACUGCCGAUGCUCUGUGAUACACUCUCAACGAGUCGAGUUGUUUGGGAAUGCAGCUCAAAAUGGGUGGUAAAUUCCAUCUAAAGCUAAAUAUUGGCGAGAGACCGAUAGCGAACAAGUACCGUGAGGGAAAGAUGAAAAGCACUUUGGAAAGAGAGUGAAACAGUACGUGAAAUUGUUGAAAGGGAAGCGUUUGAAGUCAGUCAUCUCUGGCGGGAUUCAUCUGGGCUUCUGCCCGGUGUACUUUCCGUCCGACGGGUCAGCAUCAAUUCAGACCGAGGGAAAAAGACAUGCGGAAUGUGGCUGUCCUCGGGCAGUGUUAUAGCCCCGUGUUGUAUGCCUCGGUUGGGAUUGAGGAACGCAGCGCGCCUAUAGGCCAGGGGCUACCCGCCUCUUGACACGCGCUUAGGAUGC